GAUGAAGAACGCAGUGAAAUGCGAUAAGUAAUGUGAAUUGCAGAAUUCAGUGAAUCAUCGAAUCUUUGAACGCACAUUGCGCCCGCCAGUAUUCUGGCGGGCAUGCCUGUCCGAGCGUCAUUUCAACCAUCAAGCCUCGUGCUUGUGUUGGGGACCUGCGUCCGACGCAGGCCCUGAAAACCAGUGGCGGGCUCGCUGUCCACACCGAGCGUAGUAACUAACCUCGCUAUGGAGUGGCGCGGGCGCCUGCCGUAAAACCCCCAAUUUCACAAGGUUGACCUCGGAUCAGGUAGGAAUACCCGCUGAACUUAAGCAUAUCAAUAAGCGGAGGA
rnacentral:misc_RNA from 1 species